rnacentral:tRNA from 1 species
UCCCUGGUGGCUUAGAUGGUAAAGCGUCUGCCUGCAGUGAGGGAGACCCAGGUUCGAUCCCUGGGUCGGGAA